rnacentral:rRNA from 1 species
GACGAACCGUGCAAACGUUAUUCGGAAUCACUGGGCUUAAAGCGCGUGUAGGCGGAUGAGAACGUCGGAACCUGAAAGCCCCCGGCUCAACCGGGGAAGUGGGGCCGAAACGACCCGUCUCGAGGGACGUAGGGGGAUCUGGAACUUCCGGUGGAGCGGUGAAAUGCGUUGAGAUCGGAAGGAACGCCCGUGGCGAAAGCGAGAUCCUGGACGUCUACUGACGCUGAGACGCGAAAGCUAGGGGAGCGAACGGG